rnacentral:rRNA from 1 species
AUUGAACGCUGGCGGCAUGCCUUACACAUGCAAGUCGAACGGCAGCAUAGGAGCUUGCUCCUGAUGGCGAGUGGCGAACGGGUGAGUAAUAUAUCGGAACGUGCCCUAGAGUGGGGGAUAACUAGUCGAAAGACUAGCUAAUACCGCAUACGAUCUACGGAUGAAAGUGGGGGAUCGCAAGACCUCAUGCUCCUGGAGCGGCCGAUAUCUGGUUAGCUAGUUGGUGGGGUAAAAGCCUACCAAGGCGACGAUCAGUAGCUGGUCUGAGAGGACGACGCGACACACGGGAACAGGGAACGGGCCCAGACUCCAAGGGGAGGCAGCAGGGGGGAUUUUUGGAAAAGGGGGUCAACCUUGUUCCAACAAUGCCGCGUGGGGGAAGAAGGCCUUCGGGUUUUAAAGCUCUUUGGUAGGGGAAGAAACGGUAAUAGCUAAUAUCUAUUACAAAUGCCGGUACCGGAAGAAAAAGCACCGGCUAACUCCGGGCCAGCACCCGCCGUAA